CACUCAAACUCUAGUCUGCACGCCCGCUGAGUCCAGCAUCGGUGAUGCGGGUGAUGCAGCGCUGACAGUACAACUAGAUGUAAACAGUACUUGCGAGGAUGCGAUCCUGUCGGCGCCGAAAUCAGAGCAAUCAACUGGCAAAGACGAUCCUCAGAAGCCUGGAUUGACCAGGAGGGGGUCCCAAAAAAAAGUAACACACGUUCCUACCGUUGCAAGUGUCCCACAAUGAUAUAGUUACUCCGAUCAAAUGACAACGGCUGGUACAUAAAUCAGUGCAGGGCGAUGGAAGUAGCAAUAGAGAAAGUGAUGCCAGACACGACUCACCGUUGAUGCUAGUGGCACGUGCAAUUGGUCAUUUCAUGGGGCUAAAAGCUCCAGAACGAAAACAAAAGCCUGGUCGACCAAUCACCAGCAGGAGAGUUAUUUGCCCAAAACC